rnacentral:rRNA from 1 species
GAGUUUGAUUAUGGCUCAGGAUGAACGCUGGCGGCGUGCCUAACACAUGCAAGUCGAGCGCGGUUGUGCUUAGUAUUGAGUGUUUUAUUGAUAUAAAACAUUGAAUUCUAUGCACAACUGAGCGGCGGACGGGUGAGUAACGCGUGGGUAACCUGCCCUAUACACAUGGAUAACAUACUGAAAAGUUUACUAAUACAUGAUAAAAUAGUUUUUCGGCAUCGAAGAAUUAUCAAAGUGUUAGCGGUAUAGGAUGGACCCGCGUCUGAUUAGCUAGUUGGUGAGAUAACUGCCCACCAAGGCGACGAUCAGUAGCCGACCUGAGAGGGUGAUCGGCCACAUUGGAACUGAGACACGGUCCAAACUCCUACGGGAGGCAGCAGUGGGGAAUAUUGCACAAUGGGCGCAAGCCUGAUGCAGCAACGCCGCGUGAACGAUGAAGGUCUUCGGAUCGUAAAGUUCUGUUGCAGGGGAAGAUAAUGACGGU